rnacentral:rRNA from 1 species
UGGGGAAUUUUGGACAAUAGGCGAAAGCCUGAUCCAGCAAUGCCGCGUGUGUGAAGAAGGCCUUCGGGUUGUAAAGCACUUUUGUCCGGAAAGAAAUGGCUCUGGUUAAUACCUGGGGUCGAUGACGGUACCGGAAGAAUAAGGACCGGCUAACUACGUGCCAGCAGCCGCGGUAAUACGUAGGGUCCAAGCGUUAAUCGGAAUUACUGGGCGUAAAGCGUGCGCAGGCGGUUGUGCAAGACCGAUGUGAAAUCCCCGAGCUUAACUUGGGAAUUGCAUUGGUGACUGCACGGCUAGAGUGUGUCAGAGGGGGGUAGAAUUCCACGUGUAGCAGUGAAAUGCGUAGAGAUGUGGAGGAAUACCGAUGGCGAAGGCAGCCCCCUGGGAUAACACUGACGCUCAUGCACGAAAGCGUGGGGAGCAAACAGG